AAUGGACGAAAGUCUGAGGCAGCAACUCCGCGUGAGGGACGAAGGCUCUCAGGUCGUAAACCUCCUUUCUCAGGGAAGAUCCAAGACGGUACCUGAGGAAUAAGCCACGGCUAACUACGUGCCAGCAGCCGCGGUAAUACGUAGGUGGCAAGCGUUGUCCGGAUUUACUGGGCGUAAAGAGCGCGCAGGCGGCUGGUCAAGUCCGAUGUGAAAUCUCCCGGCUCAACUGGGAAACUGCAUCGGAAACUGAUCGGCUUGAAGGUGGGAGAGGGUAGUGGAAUUCCCGGUGUAGUGGUGAAAUGCGUAGAUAUCGGGAGGAACACCAGUGGCGAAGGCGACUACCUGGCCCACUCUUGACGCUGAGGCGCGAAAGCUAGGGGAGCGAACGGGAUUAGAUACCCCGGUAGUCCUAGCCGUAAACGAUGAACACUAGGCGUAGUCGGUAUCGACCCCGGCUGUGCCGUAGCCAACGCAUUAAGUGUUCCGCCUGGGGAGUACGGCCGCAAGGCUA
rnacentral:rRNA from 1 species